AGUGAACGCUGGCGGUAGGCCUAACACAUGCAAGUCGAACGGCAGCUCAGUAAGAGCUUGCUCUUACGGGUGGCGAGUGGCGGACGGGUGAGGAAUACAUCGGAAUCUACUUUUUCGUGGGGGAUAACGUAGGGAAACUUACGCUAAUACCGCAUACGACCUACGGGUGAAAGAAGGGGAUCUUCGGACCUUGCGCGAUUGAAUGAGCCGAUGUCGGAUUAGCUAGUUGGCGGGGUAAAGGCCCACCAAGGCGACGAUCCGUAGCUGGUCUGAGAGGAUGAUCAGCCACACUGGAACUGAGACACGGUCCAGACUCCUACGGUAGGCAGCAGUGGGGAAUAUUGGACAAUGGGCGCAAGCCUGAUCCAGCCAUACCGCGUGAGUGAAGAAGGCCUUCGGGUUGUAAAGCCCUUUUGUUGGGAAAGAAAAGCAGCAGGUUAAUACCCCGCUGUUCUGACGGUACCCAAAGAAUAAGCACCGGCUAACUUCGUG
rnacentral:rRNA from 1 species